GGGGAUUUAGCUCAGCGGCAUAAGCGCCUGCCUUGCAAGCAGGCAGUCUUGAGUUGGAUCCCCG
rfam:Cavia porcellus supercont2_44 genomic scaffold, whole genome shotgun sequence.